GACGAACGCUGGCGGCGUGCUUAACACAUGCAAGUCGAACGGAAAGGCCCUGCUUUUGUGGGGUGCUCGAGUGCGAACGGGUGAGUAACAAGGUAGUCACCUGCCCCUGCCUUUUGGAUAACUUUAAGGAACUGGGGCUUACACCCGUAUGGCACCCCCUCUUCAUGGUGGGGGUUGGAAAAUUUCGGCGGUUGGGGAUGGAAUCGCGGCCUAUCAGCUUGUUGGUGGGGUAGUGGCUUACCCAGGCCUUGACGGGUAGCCGGCCUGGGAGGGUGACCGGGCACAUUGGGACUGAGAGACGGCCCAGACUCCUACGGGAGGCAGCAGUGGGGAAUAUUGCACAAUGGGCGGAAGCCUGAUGCAGCAACGCCGCGUGCGGGAUGACGGCCUUCGGGUUGUAAACCGCUUUCGCCUGUGACGAAGCGGGAGUGACGGUAAUGGGUAAAGAAGCACCGGCUAACUACGUG
rnacentral:rRNA from 1 species